CAUUAGAUGUCUUGUCCUCAUUAAGCAGCUUUUGAGUUCGUUCCUUAUGCGGUCAAUGCCAACAAGCUCCACCGUAUCUUUAUACAUGGCAACUAGGCGAAGGUGGAUGGUAGCCACACUGCCAGUUCCAGGCAUGUCAAGUUGCAGCGCGUGGUUGAAAAAAGUUUGAAGGUGUUUAUGAAAAGAAGGAAAAUAAAGCGACGACACGUGGGGACCUGCCCUUGGGCUGUCAACGAAGCAAGUUUGGUAGGCACACAACACGCUUUUCUUCUCUGGAGGCAUGCCCUUCCUCACACCUUCAAGUCCAGAGGAACACGGAGAUGAACCUACCAAGCAGUCAGUCAGAAGCUCAAGUUCACCAACCCAGGAAAGAUAUAUAGGAACUAGCAGUAUAUCAUAGGGACGUAAUCAAAAUAGUGUUUCUUGAUUUUGCAGACAGUUCUUGAUCGCAGUAUCAUAAUAGCAAAAUCUCUGGAAAUAUUCAUGUGUAGAUACUGGAUAGUAUAGAUAGGGUAGUGAGCGUGGAAAUAUUCAUGUGUCCCCUUGCUCAGGGCCUGAGCUUGUCAUCUGUUACUUCGUAGUAUUUCAGGAUACUUCCAUGACGCCAAAUAUCUCUGGAAGUCCAUUUGCA